GCAAUUUGAAGAAAGUUUGGAGCUUGAUGUUAGCAUGCUUUCCAUAGAUCCUCCAUCGGACAAGAAAGAUCUUAGUUUUCAGCCACUGAGUGACCCUGACGUGUGCACAGUUGGAUUGAAGAAGGAAAGCCGAAAAAAUGUGGACACAAUGAUCUCAAUC